CGCUUAUAGAGAAAGGCAGAGGGAAUAGACCCGCUGAAGCCUUAGCAACCUGACACUGGUCAAGGUGCUACAUUCUACUCGGUUUAGCCCGGGAAAGAUAAGCU
rnacentral:ncRNA from 2 species